UAAGGGGGUCGGGGACCCGGGCUGGGCUCGAGGAGAGGCCUGGACACCUCCCUCCGGGCCCCCAGUUCACUCCUGGCCGAGUUUCACCCUUGAGCCCGAGUCGCACCCUUGGAGGCUUCCCCUCCCUCCUGCACUCGCUGAUGAGGCAGCCGGAGGACCCGGGACCAGCCCUCACCUUGGGCAGGAUUUGUGGGGCGGGUGCGCGGUGGGAACUUGGAUGGAGGCUCGAGGGGCCCGUGGGCGGGGUGGGCUGCGUGCGGACAUCCCCUCACCCCCCGAAUUUCCAUCUGGUCCAGCCCUCUCAUCUUGUAGGUGAGGAAACCGAAGGCCUGAGGGAGAACUGACUUGCCAGGAACCCCUGUUAAGGAGAAUUACCAAAGAGUGGUUAUUAAAGGAGCCCUGAGUUGGGAGUCAGACCUGGAGUCCUACACCCUUGGUGAAGACAUUAUACCACCUUGAGUCUGGCCUGUUGACUGAGGGUGAGCCACUCCAUCCUCCUCUGAUUGUGGGGUCUUGACCUCAAGGGGUUUCCUGCAGGAAGAAGCAAAUGGGUUUAAACUAAUCCAGGACCACGGCGGGCUCUGUGGUCUUCAUGCAUGCAUCCUUCUCAGCCUUCGUUGGUGCUCGCUGCCCUUUCAAAACCUCCUCUGGCCUUGGCAGCACCGUGUUCGGGCCCCGCCCCGCUCUCUGUUCACAUGUCCGUUUCUUUGGCUUCUCUCCCAACGUCUGUCCCGUGGGCUGGGUGUCCUCAGGUUGCCUUGACCAGCUUCUCCCACUGCGCCCAGCUCUCACGGGAUGACUCGUCACCCUGGGCAUCAAUGGCUGUGUAUAUGUAAUGGGUUCCAAAGCUCAUCUCCAGCUGGUCCCUUUACUCUUGUGCUUCCAGUCUCUACGACCCUCCAUUGGAAAGCUCCCCUUGGGUUCUGCAGGCUCAUCUCUCCUGUCCCAGACUGCCCUCCUCCUCCACACUACUUGUUUCCUGUAUUAGGAAAAGGGACCGUCCUGCUCCAGGCUGGCAGGAAUUGUAAGUUUGGUGUCUUUGUUGUACUGCAUCAGGCACAGACCUGCUGCUCACGCCUCCUGGGCAGUGGUGCCCCUUCCUGGGGCUGCCUGCCUGUGUCAGCCUCCAUUGUCACUCUUGGCGGUGACCACAGCAGCCUCCUGGGUCCAUGCUCAUUCUCCACUUUUGUUUACAGGGAGCUCUAGCAGAUGAGAUCUCCUUGUCCUCUGGCUUGUCUGACCCCUUACUUGAUGUGGUCUCUUUCCAUUUCUUGUGUGCCCGCCUAAGCCUGUCUCGCUCUGCUGACAGAUCCCACAGGGUCCAGUUCCUCCUAGUGCAGGCACGCACAAGAGCCUGAUAACAUCCCUGAGGACCUCAGAGACCCUUUCUACGUUGACCAGUAUGAGCAGGAGCACAUUAAACCGCCUGUUAUCAAGCUUCUCCUGUCCAGCGAGCUGUACUGCCAUGUCUGCAGCCUCAUCCUGAAAGGCGACCAGGUGGCCGCCUUACAGGGACACCAGUCUGUCAUCCAGGCCCUGUCCCGGAAAGGGAUCUAUGUGAUGGAGAGUGAUGACACCCCUGUGACAGAGUCCGACCUCAGUCGUGCACCCAUAAAAAUGAGUGCCCACAUGGCGAUGGUGGAUGCCCUGAUGAUGGCCUACACUGUGGAGAUGAUAGCGUCAAGAAGGUGGUGGCCAGUGUCAAGUGCUUCUCAAUGUUCAGUGCCUUGAAAGAACUUCCGUACGACCUCGAGGACGCCAUGUGUUCUGGAUCAACAAGACCGAUGUAAAGGAAAAACAGAAAAAACUUGUCGAACAAUUAACUGGAUUAAUAAGUAGUUCACCUGGACCACCUACACGAAAAUUAUUAGCUAAAAAUCUCGCAGCCCUUUAUAGCAUUGGGGAUACUUUUACAGUUUUUCAGACACUUGAUAAAUGCAAUGACAUUAUCAGAGAUAAAGAUGACACUGCGGCCUACUUACCAACAAAAUUUCUCAAGGGCGAAGUGAAAUCUUAAUGAGUCUACAGAAAGUUCUAAGUGGACUGGGUGGUGCAGCAGCUUCCUCUCAUCGUGAUAUUUAAAAGAAUGCCAGGUCUCUCUUGACUGAUGGUCAAUGGCUGUUCGAUGUGCAGUGGCCAAGUAAUGCGUCAGAAUGUGAAGCAAGUAACAUUUGAUGAAGUCUUAGAACUCAUGGCCACAGGAUUUCUGCGUGGAGGGCGUUGUGUUGUUUUUGUGACAACAUUGGGUGGUCAGUGGUUGGAGCGCAGCUUUGCCACAUUCCUGUCCCACGUACUUGAUCUGGUUUCCCAUCCUCGGGCAACACAAACACACGUGGAGGCUGUGUACUCCAGACGAUGUGUUUCCUUUAUCCUAAGAGCUACUGUGGGCAGUUUGCUAGGUGAAAAAGCCCAGAUUGCAGGUGCCAAAGAAAUCUGCCAAGCUAUUGGAAAACAAAUGAAAG